rnacentral:rRNA from 1 species
GAUAAAGAAAGUAAGCAAGGGCAGACGGUGGAUGCCUUGGCUCUCGGAGGCGAUGAAGGACGUGAUAAGCUGCGAUAAGCUUGGGGUAGGUGCAAAUAACCUUUGAUCCCAAGAUUUCCGAAUGGGGCAACCCGGCUGGUAGAAGGCCAGUCAUUCCGUAAGGAAGGCGAACGUGGGGAACUGAAACAUCUAAGUACCCAUAGGAGAAGAAAACAAAAGUGAUUCCGCAAGUAGUGGCGAGCGAACGCGGAACAGCCCAAACCGAUGAUGUUUNAACAAACGGCCGUAGACGGUGAAAGCCCAGUAUACGACUCUUUAACGAAGCCUAGUGGAAUCCUGAGUAGCGCGGAGCACGAGAAAUUCUGUGUGAAUCAGCGGGGCCCAUCCCGUAAGGCUAAAUACUCCCGAGAGACCGAUAGCGAACCAGUACUGUGAAGGAAAGGUGAAAAGCACCUCGAACAGAGGAGUGAAAUAGUCCCUGAAACCGUCUGCCUACAAGCGGUCGGAGCAACGUAAGUUGUGACGGCGUGCCUUUUGCAUAAUGAACCUACGAGUUACUUUCUCCGGCAAGGUUAAGGGCUUCAGGCCCGGAGCCGAAGCGAAAGCGAGUCUUAAUAGGGCGUGAUAGUCGGAGUGAGUAGACGCGAAACCAAGUGAUCUACCCUUGGUCAGGAUGAAGGUUGGGUAACACCAACUGGAGGUCCGAAUGGGUAUACGUUGAAAAGUGUUCCAAUGAACUGAGGGUAGGGGUGAAAGGCUAAUCAAACUUGGAGAUAGCUCGUACUCCCCGAAAUGCAUUUAGGUGCAGCCUUUAUUUAGUAUAGCAUGAGGUAGAGCGACUGAUUGGAUGCGAGGGCUUCACCGCCUAUCAAGUCCAGAUAAACUCCGAAUGCGUGCUAUAUAUUGAUAAGGAGUGAGGGCGCGGGUGCUAAGGUCCGCGUCCGAGAGGAGAAGAAUCCAGACCAUCAGCUAAGGUCCCCAAAUAACAGUUAAGUUGAACUAACGAAGUCGGACUGCAGAGACAGCUAGGAUGUUGGCUUGGAAGCAGCCAUUCAUUUAAAGAGUGCGUAACAGCUCACUAGUCGAGGAGUCCGGCGUGGAUAAUACUCGGGCAUAAACUGUUUACCGAAGCUAUGGAUGUAGAAAUACAUGGUAGGGGAGCAUUCCAACGGCGUUGAAGGUGAAGGAUGACCUUUGCUGGAGCUUUUGGAAACGCAAAUGUAGGUAUAAGUAACGAUAAAGGAGGUGAGAAACCUCCUCGCCGAAAGACUAAGGUUUCCUGAUCAACGUUAAUCGGAUCAGGGUAAGUCGGGACCUAAGGUUAAGCCGAACGGCGAUACCGAUGGAAGAAUGGUUUAAUAUUCCCAUACUACUUUAUGGAGCGAUGUGGAGACGGAGAAGUGAAAGUCCUGCCAUCUGACGGAAUAGGUGGUUGAAGAGUGUAGAUGUAGAUUCCUGUAGGCAAAUCCGCAGGGAGAGUCGACCUUGACAGUAUGCCGCGUGCUUGCACAAGGCAAAAUGGACGUAAUCAGGCUCCCAAGAAAAUCCGCUAAGCAUAUUCAUAAAGUACCCGUACCGUAAACGGACACACGUAGUUGGGUUGAAAAUACUGAGGCGCUCGAGUGAUUCACGGUUAAGGAACUAGGCAAAUUGACCCUGUAACUUCGGGAUAAAGGGUCCCUACUGAGAGGUAGGGCGCAGAGAAUAGGUCCAGGCAACUGUUUAACAAAAACACAUGGCUGUGCGAAAUAGAAAUAUGAAGUAUACAGCCUGACACCUGCCCGGUGCUGGAAGGUUAAGAGGAGAGCUCAUCGCAAGAGAAGGCUUGAAUUGAAGCCCCAGUAAACGGCGGCCGUAACUAUAACGGUCCUAAGGUAGCGAAAUUCCUUGUCGGGUAAGUUCCGACCUGCACGAAUGGUGUAAUGAUCUGGACACUGUCUCAACCGUGAGCUCGGUGAAAUUGUAGUAUCGGUGAAGAUGCCGAUUACCCGCGAUGGGACGAAAAGACCCCGUGAACCUUUACUAUAGCUUUACAUUGAAUUUGGGCAAUCGAUGUGUAGGAUAGGCCGGAGNUGGUUGUUUGAGUUCUAACCCGCAGAAGCGGGGACACUGUAUGGUGGGUAGUUUGACUGGGGUGGUCGCCUCCAAAAGAGUAACGGAGGCUUCUAAAGGUACCCUCAGACCGAUUGGUAACCGGUCGUAGAGUGUAAUGGCAUAAGGGUGCUUGACUGGGAGACAGACAAGUCGAUCAGGUAGGAAACUAGAGCAUAGUGAUCCGGUGGUUCCGCAUGGAAGGGCCAUCGCUCAAAGGAUAAAAGGUACUCCGGGGAUAACAGGCUGAUCGCUCCCAAGAGCUCAUAUCGACGGAGCGGUUUGGCACCUCGAUGUCGGCUCGUCACAUCCUGGGGCUGGAGAAGGUCCCAAGGGUUGGGCUGUUCGCCCAUUAAAGUGGCACGCGAGCUGGGUUCAGAACGUCGUGAGACAGUUCGGUCUCUAUCUAUCGUGGGCGUAGGAUAUUUGAGGGGCUCUGACACUAGUACGAGAGGACCGUGUUGGACAGACCACUGGUUUACCGGUUGUACCGCCAGGUGCACCGCCGGGUAUCUAAGUCUGGAUUGGAUAAGUGCUGAAAGCAUCUAAGUACGAAGCCAGCCUCAAGAUGAGAUAUCCCUAGAGGGUCGUUGUAGACUACGACGUAGAUAGGCUACAGGUGUAAGGGCAGCAAUGUCGAAGCCGAGUAGUACUAAUAGCCCGAGACUUUCGAUCAU